rnacentral:rRNA from 1 species
AGAGUUUGAUCCUGGCUCAGGAUGAACGCUGGCGGCGUGCCUAAUACAUGCAAGUCGUGCGGUAGCAUGCUUCUCACUAUCUUCUUCUCGCUUUUUCGAGACAGGUCGUUAAUUUUGUUUACAAAAUUAACAUCGUAAUCGAAAGAGGAACGCAAGGAGGGAAUAGUGAGAAGUGAUGACGAGCGGCGGACGGGUGAGUAACGCGUAGGAAUGUACCCCAAAGUGAGGGAUAACUGCCCGAAAGGGUAGCUAAUACCGCAUAUGAUCUUCGGAUUAAAGCUUUUAGCGCUUUGGGAACAGCCUGCGUAAGAUUAGCUAGUUGGUGAGGUAAUGGCUCACCAAGGCGACGAUCUUUAGCUGGUCUGAGAGGAUGAUCAGCCACACUGGAACUGAGACACGGUCCAGACUCCUACGGGAGGCAGCAGUAAGGAAUCUUCCACAAUGGGCGAAAGCCUGAUGGAGCAACGCCGCGUGCAGGAUGAAGGCCUUAGGGUCGUAAACUGCUUUUAUUAGUGAAGAAUAUGACGGUAACUAAUGAAUAAGGGUCGGCUAACUACGUGCCAGCAGCCGCGGUCAUACGUAGGACCCGAGCGUUAUCCGGAGUGACUGGGCGUAAAGAGUUGCGUAGGCGGAUGUACAAGCGAAUAGUGAAACCUGGUGGCUCAACCACCAGACUAUUAUUCGAACUGUACGUCUCGAGAGUAGUAGAGGUACCUGGAAUUUCUAGUGUAGGGGUGAAAUCCGUAGAUAUUAGAAGGAACACCAAUGGCGUAGGCAGGGUACUAGACUAUUUCUGACGCUGAGGCACGAAAGCGUGGGGAGCGAACCGGAUUAGAUACCCUAGUAGUCC